GUAGAUUUCUCUGGGUAAACAACCAAUGGGGAGAUCUCGCCAGGCAGGAUUUCUUUCCCCAGGGAAAUAUCCUCUGUUUCGGUGUCCUGAAAGCACAAGUGUAAGCCUUGGAAUGAAGAAUCACGUUUAGGCAAGAUAAACUAGAUUGGGAAGCCAUGGAAUCAAAGAUGACAAAAUUUACGAACUCAGUAAGAUGGAGUAAAUACCUUGCCCAAAGUCACACAGCUGGCAAGUAUUAAAGAUGGGA